rnacentral:rRNA from 1 species
GACGAACGCUGGCGGCGUGCUUAACACAUGCAAGUCGAACGGUAAGGCCCUUCGGGGUACACGAGUGGCGAACGGGUGAGUAACACGUGGGUAAUCUGCCCUGCACUUCGGGAUAAGCCUGGGAAACUGGGUCUAAUACCGGGUAUUCAGUUCCUGCCGCAUGGUGGGGGUUGGAAAGUUUUUCGGUGCAGGAUGAGCCCGCGGCCUAUCAGCUUGUUGGUGGGGUAAUGGCCUACCAAGGCGACGACGGGUAGCCGGCCUGAGAGGGUGAUCGGCCACACUGGACUGAGACACGGCCCAGACUCCUACGGGAGGCAGCAGUGGGGAAUAUUGCACAAUGGGCGAAAGCCUGAUGCAGCGACGCCGCGUGGGGGAUGACGGUCUUCGGAUUGUAAACCCCUUUCAGUAGGGACGAAGCGCGAGUGACGGUACCUGCAGAAGAAGCACCGGCCAACUACGUGCCAGCAGCCGCGGUAAUACGUAGGGUGCGAGCGUUGUCCGGAAUUACUGGGCGUAAAGAGCUCGUAGGCGGUUUGUCGCGUCGUCCGUGAAAACUCGGAGCUUAACUCCGAGCUUGCGGGCGAUACGGGCAGACUUGAGUACUACAGGGGAGACUGGAAUUCCUGGUGUAGCGGUGAAAUGCGCAGAUAUCAGGAGGAACACCGGUGGCGAAGGCGGGUCUCUGGGUAGUAACUGACGCUGAGGAGCGAAAGCAUGGGUAGCGAACAGGAUUAGAUACCCUGGUAGUCCAUGCCGUAAACGGUGGGCGCUAGGUGUGGGGUCCUUCCACGGAUUCCGUGCCGUAGCUAACGCAUUAAGCGCCCCGCCUGGGGAGUACGGCCGCAAGGCUAAAACUCAAAGGAAUUGACGGGGGCCCGCACAAGCGGCGGAGCAUGUGGAUUAAUUCGAUGCAACGCGAAGAACCUUACCUAGGCUUGACAUAUACAGGACGACGGCAGAGAUGUCGUUUCCCUUGUGGCUUGUAUACAGGUGGUGCAUGGUUGUCGUCAGCUCGUGUCGUGAGAUGUUGGGUUAAGUCCCGCAACGAGCGCAACCCCUGUCUCAUGUUGCCAGCACGUUAUGGUGGGGACUCGUGAGAGACUGCCGGGGUCAACUCGGAGGAAGGUGGGGAUGACGUCAAAUCAUCAUGCCCCUUAUGUCUAGGGCUUCACACAUGCUACAAUGGCUAGUACAGAGGGCUGCGAUACCGUGAGGUGGAGCGAAUCCCUUAAAGCUGGUCUCAGUUCGGAUUGGGGUCUGCAACUCGACCCCAUGAAGUCGGAGUCGCUAGUAAUCGCAGAUCAGCAACGCUGCGGUGAAUACGUUCCCGGGCCU